AUUGAACGCUGGCGGCAGGCUUAACACAUGCAAGUCGAGCGGGGGAGGUUGCUUCGGUAACUGACCUAGCGGCGGACGGGUGAGUAAUGCUUAGGAAUCUGCCUAUUAGUGGGGGACAACAUUCCGAAAGGGAUGCUAAUACCGCAUACGCCCUACGGGGGAAAGCAGGGGAUCUUCGGACCUUGCGCUAAUAGAUGAGCCUAAGUCGGAUUAGCUAGUUGGUGGGGUAAAGGCCUACCAAGGCGACGAUCUGUAGCGGGUCUGAGAGGAUGAUCCGGCACACUGGGACUGAGACACGGCCCAGACUCCUACGGGAGGCAGCAGUGGGGAAUAUUGGACAAUGGGCGGAAGCCUGAUCCAGCCAGGCCGCGUGUGUGAAGAAGGCCUUUUGGUUGUAAAGCACUUUAAGCGAGGAGGAGGCUACUUAGAUUAAUACUCUAGGAUAGUGGACGUUACUCGCAGAAUAAGCACCGGCUAACUCUGUGCCAGCCGCCGCAGUAAAAC
rnacentral:rRNA from 1 species